ACAUCUGGAGUGCUAGCUGCAUGAAGGAGCUACCCGCUGUGGGUCUUCUCUUUGCUGACAGCUGGACACUUGACAGAAUGACGUGCCUGAACUCGGGACCUGCUGAAUGAUGGGACUGAAGAAGCUGUAACACAAACAGGGCUAAAACACGCACUCUCCUCCCCCUGCUCCCCACCGCCCCACCCACUUGCCACAUUGGAGGUGAUGAGAAGGAGAGAAAAGCUGUGGCCUUUCAGGGAGCAUAGUCGCAGGGGCUCCCUGAGCCAGGGCUGUGAAACCCUCUUCCGGGCACUGCAGUUCCUGGCAUCUCCAAGCUUCUGAGUGCCACCGCAUUCCCCGCGUCCGGAUGCAGGUCAAUGCACAGAAAGAAAUCUCUCUCCUGACUUUAGUACAAUGGCACGAUUGGUGGCCACAGUCCAAGGAUGGUUGCUGGGGCAUCAAGAGAUUUCUGACAAAGGGCAUUAAAACUGAGAAAAUUUGGGAACCUCUGAAUGCUGUAGGACUUGCAUCUACGUUCUAACUGAGCUUGUUGGACACUGAAAUGGAGGAAGAAUCACAAGCCAUUUUCAAACCUACGGAGUUUUGCUCUGUAGCCAGGCUGGAGUGCAGUGGCACGAUCUCAGCUCACUGCAACGCAACCUCCAACUCCCUGGUUCAAGAGAUUCUCCUGCUGUGUCCAGAGUUGGUGGGUUCUUGGUCUCACUUACUUCAAGAAUGAAGCCACAGACCCUCAUGAGACGCGGUUUCGCCAUGUCGGCCAGGCUUGUCUCAAUCUCCUGACCUCGUGAUCUGCCUACCUCGGCCUCCCAAAGUGCUGGGAUUACAGGCGUGAGCCACCGCGCCUGGCCGAUCUGAUGGUUUUAUAAGGGGCUUUUUGCCGCUUCACUCAGCACUCCUCUCUCCUGCCGCCAUGUAAAGGACGUGUUUGCUUCCACUUCUGCUUUGAUUGUAAGUUUCCUGAGGCCUCCCCGGCCAUGCACAACUGUGAGUCAAUUAAACCUCUUACCUCUAUCAAUCACCUCUAUCAAUUAAACCUCUUUCCUCUAUAAAUUACUCGGGUAUUUUUCUUCAUAGCAGCAGAAGGGACUAAUACACCCAGAAAACUUAGCUAUUUUUUUUUUUUUUUUUUUGAAAUAGAGACGGGGGUCCCGCCCACUUUUUUUUUGUUGUUGUUCAGGCUAGUCUUGAACUCCUGGGCUCAAGUGUUUCUCUCUCCUUGGCCUCCUAAAGUGCUCAAACUGUGGGAAUUACAAGCAUAAACCACUAUGCAUAGCCUAAAUUUACUCUUCUGUUAGUUUUACGGUUUUACGUAUACCUCUAAAUGUUUCAAUUUUUAGUUAAUUAGUGUAUAAGACAUCCACUAUAAAUUAAAGUUCAAUUUUUUUGCAUGUGGCUUUCCAAUUACCCCAGCACAAUUUUCAGAGAAAAGUAUUAUCUUCCCACUGAAAUGUAUUUACACCUUUCUCCAAAGUCGGUUGACCAUAUAAAUAUAAGUUUAUAUCUGGAGUCUAUUUUUUACC